rnacentral:rRNA from 1 species
CCUACGGGAGGCAGCAGUUUCGAAUCGUUCACAAUGGGGGCAACCCUGAUGGCGCGACGCCGCGUGGGGGAUGAAGGUCUUCGGAUUGUAAACUCCUGUCAUUGGGGACUAAUGGCCAGGCUCAUACCCUGGUUUGAAUUAACCCCAAAGAGGAAGCAGUGGCUAACUCUGUGCCAGCAGCCGCGGUAAUACAGAGACUGCAAGCGUUACUCGGAUUCACUGGGCGUAAAGGGAGCGCAGGCGGACUCAUGUGUCGGACGUGAAAUACCGGGCUUAACCCCGGUGCUGCGUCCGAAACUAUGAGUCUAGAGACUUGGAGGGGUAAGCGGAAUUCUUGGUGGAGCAGUGAAAUGCGUAGAUAUCAAGAGGAACACCAACGGCGAAGGCAGCUUACUGGACAAGAUCUGACGCUCAGGCUCGAAAGCGUGGGGAGCAAAAGGGAUUAGAUACCCCUGUAGUCCACGCUGUAAACGGUGCGCAUUAGGUCUUGGAGCUUUCGAACGCUCCAGGGCUCAAGCUAACGCGAUAAAUGCGCCGCCUGAGGACUACGGCCGCAAGGCUAAAACGUCAAAGAGAGUAGACGCGUGAGACGNGCCGACGGACGACGACGAGGGAGGAGG